rnacentral:rRNA from 1 species
GUGACGAAGCGACGCCGCGUGUGGGAAGAAGGCCUUCGGGUUGUAAACCACUGUCGGGAGUUAAGAAAUGCAAGAAUGUUAAUAGCGUUUUUGCUUGACUAAGGCUCCGGAGGAAGCCACGGCUAACUCUGUGCCAGCAGCCGCGGUAAUACAGAGGCGGCAAGCGUUGUUCGGAAUUAUUGGGCGUAAAGAGCACGUAGGCGGCUGUGUAAGUCGGUUGUGAAAGCCUCCCGCUCAACGGGAGAACGGCAUCCGAUACUGCAUGGCUAGAGUGCGGGAGGGGGGAGUGGAACUUCUGGUGGAGCGGUGAAAUGCGUAGAUAUCAGAAGGAACACCGGCGGCGAAAGCGACUCUCUGGCCCGUAACUGACGCUGAGUGUGCGAAAGCUAGGGGAGCAAACGGGAUUAGAUACCCCGGUAGUCCUAGCCGUAAACGAU